GCGCCGUCUGCGUCAGGAAGCACGACAGGGUCGCGUCUCCCGUGCGUGAUGACGUAAUCAUCUCUUUCUGAGGCGCAGUCGGUCGAGCCGAGCCGCGUAUCCGAUCAGCACCGAGCCGCCGCCAUGUCAAAAGAGACGCCUCGUGAACCAGAGCAGAUGCGAAAGCUCUUCAUUGGGGGUCUGAGCUUCGAGACAACAGAUGAGAGCCUCCGGGCGCAUUUUGAACAAUGGGGAACUCUGACAGACUGUGUGGUGAUGAGGGAUCCGAACACUAAGAGGUCGAGGGGGUUCGGCUUCGUGACCUACAGCUCGGUGAACGAAGUGGACGCGGCGAUGGACGCGCGACCUCACAAAGUGGACGGGAGAGCCGUGGAGCCCAAAAGAGCCGUCUCGCGAGAGGACUCGUGCAGGCCGGGCGCUCACUCCACGGUGAAGAAGAUCUUUGUUGGAGGAAUCAAAGAGGACACGGACGAGGAGCACCUGCGUGACUACUUCUCUCAGUUCGGCAAAAUCGAGGAGGUGAACAUCAUGACCGAGAAGAACAGCGACAAGAGGCGGGGUUUCGCCUUCGUUACGUUUGAAGACCACGAUUCGGUGGACAGGAUAGUCAUUCAGAAGUACCACACAGUGAACGGGCACAACUGUGAGGUGAGGAAAGCGCUUUCCAGGGAAGAGAUGAACAGAGUGUCCAUGAACAACAGAGGAAGUCGCGGAGGCAGUGGAGGAAACUUCGGCGGUCGAGGAGGAGGAUACGGAGGUGGAUAUGGAGGAGGUGGGCGUGGUGGAUAUGGGGAUGGAGACGGAUAUGGAAACGGUUACGGAGGAAACGGUGGGUACGGGGGAGGUGGUCCUAGCUACGGCGGUAACCGUGGAUACGGAGGGGGCGGCGGAGGCGGGUAUGGAAACCAGGGCGGGGGUGGAUACGGAGGCGGGGGAUACGACAACUACAAUGGAGGAGGUGGAGGUGGAGGAAACUACGGAGGAGGAAACUUUGGAGGCGGCGGCGACUAUAACGACUUCGGCAACUACAACAACCAGUCGUCAUCUAAUUACGGCCCGAUGAAGGGAGGAAACUACGGAGGUGGAGGACGGAGCGGCAGUGGCGGCCCAUACGGCGGCGGCUACAGCGGUGGUUCCGGGGGCAGCGGCGGUGGCGGUGGUUACGGAGGUGGAUCUGGAGGAAGGAGGUUCUAAGUUCUGGAUGACAGAACCAGAGUAUGGAUUCCUUUCUUCUGUGUGGAGGUUCCUUUAGGGCAGAAAGCUGGAGAUGUUCUCUCUUAGAAGCCAGGGAUCAUCAGAGGUUUUGUGUCCUAACAAAGCAGUCCCUCCCUUUUUCCAUCCACAUGUCCAUCCAGGCCUCCUUCAAUCCCUUCAUCCCUCGCUGUCGGUUGGAUCAGAUGAGAAAUUCUUCAGGUUGGCGAUGGAGCAGAAAUGAGGCUAAGUUCUUCUUCUUUGGUUUUUCCAUGUGGUGCUGUGUUUCUCUGCUGGCUCGAUUUCUGAGAGUCAGAAAUAGAAACCCACCCAGGGGAAAUACACAACAUUACACAACAACGCCAUGAAAUAACACACUGCGUUGUGUAACUGCUUUUACACAUUCCAUGGCAGUAGAAGAAAAAGCAAUGAUUCGCUCUAAAUGAUGAUUCUGGAGUCACAUCUCAGGCUGGUUCUGUGCUGAAAGUCACUGCUGUGGGUUUUGGCCCUGUUUCAUUAUUAUUACUGUUUUUGAUCAAACAUUCAAGUGAAGUUCAGGGAUGCAAAAUAAUGCGACGAAUGCUGUCGAGAAGUAACAAUAAAAUCAUGAAAUAAUCCGAUUCGAUUUGACCUUGUGGAACAGCUGAAGGUCUCGGGGGGAAAAUCCGCUUAAAAAAUGUAAAGUAAAAAAAAACCUGAGCGAAAAUAAAAGGGUGAAAGAA